GCCGACACUCUCCUCAGACACCCAGGCCAAUGGGAGCCUUUCAUCAAGCGCAAAGAGUGGACUGAAGCCAUCAGAGGAGGGGACUGGUACAUGGCAGAGGGAGCUGCACCAAAAAACAUCAUAAAAGAAAACAAAAAGGUACUUGAGGAAGAGGUUGGAAAAAUAGAAUUAUACAAAGAAUGGAAAAAGUGUGGAACUCAAAAUCCAGGAAUUGGACAGUUCAUCAAUGCAGAUCACCAGCCAGCAGUGAGUUGUAUGUUAGAAGCUAGAAAACUGAACCAGAACAGCAGAUUAGCAGAAGCCAUGCUUGAAGUGGGAACAAACUCCUCUCCUCUGGAUACCAACCUGAUUCCUGAUGUGCACAAAUAUCAUGGCCUUAAACUUCCAACUGUUCGAGUGCCUAAAGAAAUACAUCGUGAGUUUCCCAGUACAAAGUCAAAAGACUAUAGAAACUAUUUAGCUAGCACCAUUAGCAAUGAUGAUGUUGUGGGCACCUUCAAACUGACGAUUAUUGGCUCUAUGCCGAGAUUCAAAUUGGAUGGCACCAAGAACUUCAAAGACUUUCAGAACGACCAGAUGAGUAAAACCAGACUUGCCACUUUUGAAAAAAGCUUUCAGCAACACAGUACAGAGAUGGUAGAGGGAUGGUUCAACGUGCUUCAACACAAGGGAGUCAUGACAGAUACAGAUCUUACCACCAUUACUGAAUGGAUCAACAAGAAGGGCUACAAUGAUCAAAACGAUCUACACAGGAACCAAGUCUCCAACCUCCUAUAAUGAAAAGUGUGACUGGUGAACAUGAAGAUCUUCCACUCUUAUAAUCAUGGUGCACCUGGAAAUCGAUGAGAAAUCACUAUGGUACAUGGUUAGGAUACAAACAUAAUUUUAACUUGAAAUCAGACAUAUUUUUUUGUUUUUUUAAUCUGUUGCUAUAACGAAUGAUAAUGUCUCAGAACAUAUGCAAUUAGUGGCUCAUAGAUAAUACGCUUUCAAAAUCAUUGGAAAAACAGGAAAAAUCCUUUAGAACAAAGUGUCUUGUUUAAUAUUUAGUCUUUUUUGUAUUUUCAUUCAUUAUCAUCAUUGAUACAAUGUCAUUUUGGUUAUGUCUGUUCAGCUUGGUUUGACGGUUAAAAUUAAGAACAAACUACAGGUGAUGUAAAACAAUACUGUACUUCAUUACUAUUACUAUUAAAUGUAAUAUUAAUAAUUAAUCAUUAAUCAUUAACAUUGGUAGUGAUGAAUUCAGACAGCUCGGACUGCUCAGAGUGGAACAACAGAAACUGAAUCAUAUGUACAAUAUUAUCAAUGAGUAUGUUCCUCAGUACUUCUCAGAUAACAAUGGUCCAUACUAUAAUAUCUGGGCCAGUGUGUGUUCAGUGUGCGUCAGUUCACAUCAAGUUUUUAAAUAAGGUAUAGAAGUCAGGUUUUAGUGUUUUAUUGAUCAGGGCAACAGAUUGAUGAAUGAAAUCAGCAAAGACAUCAUUAAUUUGGAUUUCAGGAUUGUGUUGUUGAAUGUUAAAUGUCUUCUCUCAUUGUGUCUUCUAACAUCUUGGGACCAUGUCAGAAAUAAGUGUUGUCAAUUUUGUUUUUUGUGUCUGAUAAUCCAUAAAUAAAAUCAAUCAAUAAUUCAAUCGA